CUUCUAUUUUCUUGCAUAUUGUGCUUGUCUUCACAAAAAUAGGCACUUUUACUGGUCUUUUAAAAAUAAUAAGGCCUGCUCACUCAGACAAUUGUGCUAUGUAGAGGAGGCCAAAUUCUGAGCUCUGAUUGAUCUCUAAACUUCCGAAACGAGCAUUAUUCAGCAUUUCCUACCACCCAGCAGUAUUUGUCUCCCUCCUCAAUACGUGCGGUUUUGUGAAAUGAAUUUGCAUCACUUUUAACAUGUUAGUUUAUGUUUCAGAUAUCCAUAUUGUUACAGUCAAGUACCCUGCUUCAACUGAGGCAGUAACUAAUUGCUCAGAUAACACAACUUCCUGAAGUGCCUUUUGGCUAUUCAUGGUUGUAUUUCAAAUAAACUAAACCAGGUAAGCAGAAAACGAAAAAAAAAGUAGUUUAAGUUAAUAUCUUUCUUUGGCAUAAAACAGACUAAAAAAGCUCAGAGAGGCCACAGUUUUGUGAUGCGGCAGCUUUGGCAAUAACAGAAGUUUCAGAUAUUCCUGCCCCUCCACCCUUUUCCAUUUGAUCCCAGGCCUGCCCUAUGGCUUGUUGCUCAUUUGUACUGCAGGUCUGCUUGUAACCCAGAUCAUUUCCGUGAUCUAGUUCAGACAGCUGUAUUGAUCUGGACUAUUGCAGAGUUCUGCACUGAACCCUGCAAUAAAGAUGAAGUAAACACUGCUCUUUUGUUUAUACCCUGGGUCUAUUUUAUGAUAAGCUCAGAGCAAGACUCCACAAGCAGUUGGGCUGACGCAACAGAAGAGACAGACUGCCAUGACAUGGAGGAAAUAAAUCCCAGAUGUGAAAUUGUGUGAGCUGUUAGCAAGAAAACAAACAAAGCUUCUGCAUCAAAGGAAUGAUUAUGAUCUGCAUUUUAUAGCAACAUUAACUUCUUCAAUUGUAGCAGAAAAAGAGAAGAAAAAAAGAAGAAAGAAAGAAAAUGAACAAGCAACCUGGAUAAAUGCCAUUGCUUCAUUUUACAUCAGUAUUGGUUGUCCACUUUAUGUGAAAUAUAACUGUAACUAAACAUUUAUUUCACUAAAAUAAAAGCAACCAAUAAUGGCUGGUGACA
rnacentral:lncRNA from 1 species